rnacentral:rRNA from 1 species
UUAUUUUUUUAUGGAGAGUUUGAUCCUGGCUCAGAGUGAACGCUGGCGGCGUGCCUAAUAC